rnacentral:rRNA from 1 species
UAAUACGGAGGAUGCGAGCGUUAUCCGGAUUUAUUGGGUUUAAAGGGUGCGUAGGCUGUUAUAUAAGUCAGUGGUGAAAUAUUCGGGCUCAACCGGGAUACUGCCAUUGAUACUGUAUAGCUGGAAUAUGGUUGCUGUGGGUGGAAUGUGUGGUGUAGCGGUGAAAUGCAUAGAUAUCACACAGAAUAUCGAUUGCGAAGGCAACUCACAAAGCCAUUAUUGACGCUGAUGCACGAAAGUGUGGGGAUCAAACAGGAUUAGAUACCCUGGUAGUCCACACUGUAAACGAUGAUAACUAGCUGUCGGCGAUAGAUAGUCGGUGGCUAAGCGAAAGCGAUAAGUUAUCCACCUGGGGAGUACGACCGCAAGGUUGAAACUCAAAGGAAUUGACGGGGGCCCGCACAAGCGGAGGAACAUGUGGUUUAAUUCGAUGAUACGCGAGGAACCUUACCCGGGCUCGAACGGUGCAGGAAUAUGGUAGAGAUAUCAUAGCUAGCAAUAGUCUGUAUCGAGGUGCUGCAUGGUUGUCGUCAGCUCGUGCCGUGAGGUGUCGGCUUAAGGGCCAUAACGAGCGCAACCCUUGUCGUUAGUUACCAUCAAGUAAAGUUGGGGACUCUAGCGAGACUGCCACCGUAAGGUGUGAGGAAGGGGGGGAUGACGUCAAAUCAGCACGGCCCUUACGUCCGGGGCGACACACGUGUUACAAUGGUAGGUACAGAGGGGCGCUAUCCAGUGAUGGAGUGCGAAUCUCAAAAACCUAUCUCAGUUCGGAUUGGAGUCUGCAACUCGACUCCAUGAAGUUGGAUUCGCUAGUAAUCGCGCAUCAGCCAUGGCGCGGUGAAUACGUUCCCGGGCCUUGUACACACCGCCCGUCAAGCCAUGGAAGCCGGGGGUGCCUGA